GGCUACCCAUGCAAGAAGGCACUAGGUCCAGAUAAGUUCACGUGGGAAUUUAAUCAAAUCUUCAGGAAAUAGAUAAUUUUCACUCAAUUUGAGCUAUAUCAUAAAAUUAAAAAGAAGGAAAGCUUCAAGAAUCCUAUUGUUUGUUUUUCUUUCUUUUAAUUCAAUAUAAAAUUGAUGCCGAUAUCUGGACUAUUUUGAACUCAGUUCUGCCUCCCUUCCUUCUAGUUCCUCUAUGUGGGAUGAGCCACAGCAUGGCCUGAUGAGCAGUGCAUAGGUCCAUGCCUGGAAUCCAAACUGCUAAACCCCAGGCCACUGAAGCAGAGCACCUGAACUUAACCACCCAGCCCGCUGUCUUAAGUCUGGAUCCUAGCCCAGCCCUCAAUGCCUCCAAGAUCUCAGAUUUGAAGCAAUGUAUGAAGUGUCCAGACAAUCAAUACCCAAUAGUGUUUGAGAUCAUUGCCUCCCAAAGGUUGUGAUCUUCUCGG
rnacentral:lncRNA from 1 species